rnacentral:rRNA from 1 species
GACAGAGGGUGCAAACGUUGUUCGGAAUACUGGCGUAAAGCGCGUGUAGGCGGCUAAGCAAGUCGGGCGUGAAAUCCCACGGCUCAACCGUGGAAGUGCACCCGAAACUGCAUAGCCUAAGAGUCCUGGAGAGGAAGGUGGAAUGCUUGGUGGUAGAGGUGAAAUUCGUAGAUAUCAAGCGGAACACCGGUGGCGAAGGCGGCCCUUGACCUCGGGAUCGA